rnacentral:rRNA from 1 species
CGUGUAGGCGGCCCUGUAAGUCUGGUGUGAAAGCCCGGGGCUUACCCCCGGAAGUGCACUGGAAACUGCAGGGCUCGAGUACCGGAGAGGAAGGUGGAAUUCCUGGUGUAGCGGUGAAAUGCGUAGAUAUCAGGAGGAACAUCGGUGGCGAAGGCGGCCUUCUGGACGGAUACUAACGCUGAGACGCGAAAGCGUGGGGAGCAAACAGGAUUAGAUACCCUGGUAGUCCACGCUGUAAACGAUGGGCACUAGGUGUUCGGGGUAUUGACCCCCCGAGUGCCGCAGCUAACGCAUUAAGUGCCCCGCCUGGGGACUACGGCCGCAAGGUUAAA